CCGUAUGCGUUUCCUCUGUUCAUCCUGACUAAUCUACUUUUCGCGUGACCGCCCAGCCGAAGCCGCCGACGCCUGGCUAUAAAGUGGGCAGCGCCUACACGCCGCCGGCCGUCCCUCCGAUGAUCAGCCAUUCAGCCUUGAUCUGUACCGUGCACGCCGGCCGGCCCAACGCGUUGCCGUCUCCAACGGAAAAAACAAGCGCCCCACUCAUAAGCCCUAGGAAAGCUAACGGAGAUUAUUUUGUUUGCAAAAUCCAUAAUCGAAAAUAUGCCUGAAAUUGAUCUGAACAAACUUACUCGCUUGAAGGCUAGAAAUCAAGGAGUACCAAGAAAAGGGACGACAUAUUCAUAUUUCUCAAGUUAUUCUAUUCUACCUUCAGUGGUUAGUAUGCUUUCAUUUUGGCAAUGAACCUGUUAUAGUUACGUGUG